rnacentral:rRNA from 1 species
GAUGAACGCUGGCGGCGUGCCUAAUACAUGCAAGUCGAGCGAACGGACGAGAAGCUUGCUUCUCUGAUGUUAGCGGCGGACGGGUGAGUAACACGUGGAUAACCUACCUAUAAGACUGGGAUAACUUCGGGAAACCGGAGCUAAUACCGGAUGAUAUUUUGAACCGCAUGAUUCAAAAGUGAAAGACGGUCUUGCUGUCACUUAUAGAUGGAUCCGCGCUGCAUUAGCUAGUUGGUAAGGUAACGGCUUACCAAGGCAACGAUGCAUAGCCGACCUGAGAGGGUGAUCGGCCACACUGGAACUGAGACACGGUCCAGACUCCUAAGGGAGGCAGCAGUAGGGAAUCUUCCGCAAUGGGCGAAAGCCUGACGGGGCAACGCCGCGUGAGUGAUGAAGGUCUUCGGAUCGUAAAACUCUGUUAUUAGGGAAGAACAUAUGUGUAAGUAACUGUGCACAUCUUGACGGUACCUAAUCAGAAAGCCACGGCUAACUACGUG